ACUGGUCAGUAAAAUUUUAGUCACUCCAAGAAGUGCAUGUUUUUCUCAUUUUCCUACCUGUGUCCCUACCAGUGUUGAGUCAGGGUUGCAAAGCAAUACACUGCGAUGCAAAACAAAUAAACUGCAGAAUCCUCAACAGUCUUGGUCUUUGAUAUACCAAGACCUGGUGCAUUUUGGUUUUGAAAAUCAAUGCUGGCAUGGACUGCAAUGCUGACGUACUUUAUGAAGAGUGCUUAUGUAAAGAGGAAUUUUGACCUGGGUUGAAAAAUGACCCGGACGGGGGGUGGGGUCAUUUUUCAACGUUGAAUACAGUUCGGUGUGGGAUUUAGACCCUAGUAAGAUGAAAAUUGGUUAACCCCUCGUAUGGCAUAUAGAAUAUUGCUGCGUUAACAUCAAACGAAUACAUAUGAAAUAAAACCAAUCUAUGAUUAUAUAUUGUAUCUAAAAGCCCUUGAUUUUCUAUACUUUGUUUGACAGUCAUGCAUUGCACCAAGUUCAUGGUUUCAAUGCGCGUUUGAAUCUACUGAAAAUCAUUGAUGAAUUGAAAUAAUCAAAUAGAAUAAUCAAAACAAAAAGAACAGAUUCAUAAAUUUGAAGGAAUACAUAUUUCAUCACAUCGCCCUUCAGCAAUAAACUCGCAUUAAACUGAUCCGACUUUUUGAAAGGCAUAACUGAUAGUCACCCCGCAUUGGGAACGCAGUGUACCUGAGAUACAUUUAUGUACAUGUGAAAUUUCGCGUUGGAUUCGUGGGAAUGCGGUUGCUAUGUUGGACAGGUCGAACACACAUGUAUCAAGUCCUAAGUCAUAAAAUUGAAGAACUUAUAUAUAUAUAUAUAUAUGGUAUAUGGUAGGACCGUUUUACAAAACGAAUCGUAAUCUACGGAAUCCCAUUAGUGUAAACCAAAACUAAAUUCAAAAACGAAAUUAUUAAAUAAAAAACCGAAAUUGAUAUACAAAACAACCAAACCUAAAUAAAAAACGAAAUUAUUAAAUAAAAAUACGAAAUUAAUAAAUAAAAAACGAAAUUGAUAAAAAAAAA